UCUUUCUGCAGCUUUAGUGUCAGUUUUGCGUUCUAUCCAUCUCUGUCAUGUAGCAACCGAUCUGAUGAUUAUUCUUUCACCUUCCAUAGGUUUGAUCCCCGUGUGAGGGAACUGUUGGACUUCAGCAUCUACUUGGACAUCAGCGAUGAGGUCAAAUUCGCAUGGAAGAUUCAAGUCAGCCACUGUAUCCUCAUCCAAGUCCAUAAUCAUGUCGAUAAUACUAGUGAAUUGCUCUCUCAAUCCACUCUGUCUUUUGAAUCGCAGAGAGACAUGGCGGAACGCGGGCACAGUCUCGAGAGCAUCAAAGCCAGCAUCGAAGCUCGAAAGCCCGACUUCGAUGCAUACAUCGGUACCUCCGUUUUCCAUAGACGAAUCGUUCAUUUGUCAGCUGACUUCCGCUCACCGAUCACUCGUUCGACUUGGUGUUCUUGGCAGACCCGCAGAAGCAGCACGCCGAUGCCGUCGUCGAGGUUCUCCCGACGCAGUUGAUUCCCGACGACAACGAAGGCAAGGUGUUGCGGGUGAGGUUGAUCAUGAAGGAAGGGUUGAAGCACUUCAGCCCGGUCUACCUGUUCGACGAAGGCUCCACCAUCUCUUGGAUCCCAUGCGGGAGGAAGCUCACCUGCUCGUACCCUGGCAUCAAGUUCGCUUACGCCCCGGACACCUACUACUCCAAUGAGGUAAACCCCCAUCUCCCUCUCUCGCUCUCCACUCGUCAUCUCAUCUUCAUGGUUCUUGCGCAGGUCUCGGUGUUGGAGAUGGACGGACAAUUCGACAGGUUAGAUGAGCUGAUCUAUGUGGAGAGCCAUUUGAGCAACCUCUCCACCAAGUUCUAUGGGGAGGUGACGCAGCAGAUGCUGAAGCACUCCGAC
rnacentral:lncRNA from 1 species